rnacentral:rRNA from 1 species
GACGAACGCUGGCGGCGUGCUUAACACAUGCAAGUCGAACGAAGUGGCGCACGGGUGAGUAACGCGUAAUCAACCUGCACUUCAGUGGGGGACAACAGUUGGAACCGACUGCUAAUACGGCAUACUCAAGGUGGGGUUGCCGGCGGAUUAGCUAGUUGGAGGGGUAACGGCCCACCAAGGCGAUGAUCAGUAGGCCGUCUUAGGAGAGUGACCGGCACAUUGGGAACUGUGCAAGGCCCAGACUCCUACGGGAGGCAGCAGUGGGGAAACUUCCGGAAAUGACGAAAGUCUGACGGAGCCACGCCGCGUGAGGGAUGACGGCCUUCGGGUUGUAAAGCUCUGUUAAUCGGGACGCGGUACCGGAACAGAAAGCCACGGCUAACUACGUGCCAGCAGCCGCGGUAAUUC